GUUGGUUAGGAAAGAAGAUAUACUUAUCUUCUUUUGUUUCCUGUUUUUUUUUUUUAAUAACUUUUUUGGAAGUUAUUUCAAAUUAUUUUUUAUUAGAUAAAUUUGAAUUUUCCUUAAUAUUAGUUGAUUGUUAUUGGAUAUGUUUCCUACUCUAUCUUUUUUGUUUCUUAGCACGGUUAACAUUAUAAUUAAAGAGUCACGUCAAAUGUAGACUAUUCAAAUUUGUUUAAUCAAAGGUCAAUAUUUAUAUUCAUUUAACUAUUUUUUUGUUAUCGUGAUAUUGAUACGAAAUUUUAACCGCCGUUAGUGAUAAUUAAUCUCCGUCGGAGAAUCUGUGGGAGACACAAGGUUGGUUCUCCCCUCCCAACCAAAUUUUCUUGGUAUGCAUGAGCCAAGAAUCGAACCCCUGAUCAUAUGCUUAAGGGAACCAAAAGCCUUACCACUUGGACUAAUUCAUUGUUGGUUGUUCAUUCUCAGCUGGUUAAGAUAGUUGAGCUAAGGGUUAAGGAGCAAGANNNNAAAAAAAAAACAAUAAUUAGUUUUGUUAAAUCUAUAUGAAAUAUUUAUUUUCCAAAAAUAAAGAUAAUGUUAAUUCUCUUGAGAAUUCUUUCCUCCAAAUAUGUUCGUUUCGUUGGAACUACUAUGCUUAAUGCCUCGUGUCCAUCCAUAUAUCUUGCAUCAUUUUUUAUUUUUUUUUAAGUUUCUUUGUUUAAUGAACAGAAAAGGGAUUGUACAACUCGUUCCGUCAAAAAAAAAAAAAACACCAAGCGUUGUUGAUAAUUUGGUUUACCAAGCAUUAAUAAUUUAAGGCAAAUGCUAACUAGUGUUCCUGAGGCGUUAGUGAUAAGUGUCAAAAAACAGUAAUUUUACUUAUAUAUUUUAAGCAUUUAUUGACUUAUUUUAUAAAGUUAUUUGAA
rnacentral:lncRNA from 1 species